AUACGAAGGGUGCAAGCGUUACUCGGAAUUACUGGGCGUAAAGCGUGCGUAGGUGGUUGUUUAAGUCUGUCGUGAAAGCCCUGGGCUCAACCUGGGGACUGCGAUGGAAACUGGGCGACUAGAGUGUGGUAGAGGGUAGCGGAAUUCCUGGUGUAGCAGUGAAAUGCGUAGAUAUCAGGAGGAACAUCCAUGGCGAAGGCAGCUACCUGGGCCAACACUGACACUGAGGCACGAAAGCGUGGGGAGCAAACAGGAUUAGAUACCCUGGUAGUCCACGCCCUAAACGAUGCGAACUGGAUGUUGGGUGCACUUUGGCACGCAGUAUCGAAGCUAACGCGUUAGGUUCGCCGCCUGGGGAGUACGGUCGCAAGACUGAAACUCAAAGGAAUUGACGGGG
rnacentral:rRNA from 1 species